rnacentral:rRNA from 1 species
ACGUAGGGGGCAAGCGUUGUCCGGAUUUAUUGGGCGUAAAGCGCGCGUAGGCGGCGCGGUAUGUCGUGCGUGAAAUCUCCCGGCUUAACUGGGAGGGGCCGUGCGAAACUGCCGGGCUUGAGGUCGGAAGGGGAAAGUGGAAUUCCGGGUGUAGUGGUGGAAUACGUAGAUAUCCGGAGGAACACCAGCGGCGAAGGCGGCUUUCUGGUCCGAUACUGACGCUGAGGUGCGAAAGCGUGGGGAGCGAUCCGGA